rnacentral:rRNA from 1 species
AGAGUUUGAUCAUGGCUCAGAUUGAACGCUGGCGGCAGGCCUAACACAUGCAAGUCGAACGGUAACAGGAAACAGCUUGCUGUUUCGCUGACGAGUGGCGGACGGGUGAGUAAUGUCUGGGAAACUGCCUGAUGGAGGGGGAUAACUACUGGAAACGGUAGCUAAUACCGCAUAAUGUCGCAAGACCAAAGAGGGGGACCUUCGGGCCUCUUGCCAUCGGAUGUGCCCAGAUGGGAUUAGCUUGUUGGUGGGGUAACGGCUCACCAAGGCGACGAUCCCUAGCUGGUCUGAGAGGAUGACCAGCCACACUGGAACUGAGACACGGCCCAGACUCCUACGGGAGGCAGCAGUGGGGAAUAUUGCACAAUGGGCGCAAGCCUGAUGCAGCCAUGCCGCGUGUAUGAAGAAGGCCUUCGGGUUGUAAAGUACUUUCAGCGGGGAGGAAGGGAGUAAAGUUAAUACCUUUGCUCAUUGACGUUACCCGCAGAAGAAGCACCGGCUAACUCCGUGCCAGCAGCCGCGGUAAUACGGAGGGUGCAAGCGUUAAUCGGAAUUACUGGGCGUAAAGCGCACGCAGGCGGUUUGUUAAGUCAGAUGUGAAAUCCCCGGGCUCAACCUGGGAACUGCAUCUGAUACUGGCAAGCUUGAGUCUCGUAGAGGGGGGUAGAAUUCCAGGUGUAGCGGUGAAAUGCGUAGAGAUCUGGAGGAAUACCGGUGGCGAAGGCGGCCCCCUGGACGAAGACUGACGCUCAGGUGCGAAAGCGUGGGGAGCAAACAGGAUUAGAUACCCUGGUAGUCCACGCCGUAAACGAUGUCGACUUGGAGGUUGUGCCCUUGAGGCGUGGCUUCCGGAGCUAACGCGUUAAGUCGACCGCCUGGGGAGUACGGCCGCAAGGUUAAAACUCAAAUGAAUUGACGGGGGCCCGCACAAGCGGUGGAGCAUGUGGUUUAAUUCGAUGCAACGCGAAGAACCUUACCUGGUCUUGACAUCCACGGAAGUUUUCAGAGAUGAGAAUGUGCCUUCGGGAACCGUGAGACAGGUGCUGCAUGGCUGUCGUCAGCUCGUGUUGUGAAAUGUUGGGUUAAGUCCCGCAACGAGCGCAACCCUUAUCCUUUGUUGCCAGCGGUCCGGCCGGGAACUCAAAGGAGACUGCCAGUGAUAAACUGGAGGAAGGUGGGGAUGACGUCAAGUCAUCAUGGCCCUUACGACCAGGGCUACACACGUGCUACAAUGGCGCAUACAAAGAGAAGCGACCUCGCGAGAGCAAGCGGACCUCAUAAAGUGCGUCGUAGUCCGGAUUGGAGUCUGCAACUCGACUCCAUGAAGUCGGAAUCGCUAGUAAUCGUGGAUCAGAAUGCCACGGUGAAUACGUUCCCGGGCCUUGUACACACCGCCCGUCACACCAUGGGAGUGGGUUGCAAAAGAAGUAGGUAGCUUAACCUUCGGGAGGGCGCUUACCACUUUGUGAUUCAUGACUGGGGUGAAGUCGUAACAAGGUAACCGUAGGGGAACCUGCGGUUG